UACGAAGGUCCCAAGCGUUGUUCGGAAUCACUGGGCGUAAAGGGUGCGUAGGCGGCGUGGAAAGUCAGAGGUGAAAUCCCGGGGCUCAACCUCGGAACUGCCUCCGAUACUGCCAUGCUAGAGUGCUGAAGAGGAGUCCGGAAUUCACGGUGGAGCAGUGAAAUGCGUGGAUAUCGUGAGGAACACUAGCGGCGAAGGCGGGACUCUGGGCAGCAACUGACGCUGAGGCACGAAGGCCAGGGGAGCAAACGGG
rnacentral:rRNA from 1 species